GGGGUCAUCCCUAUGUUCCCCGGGUCCUAUGUUCCCCGCAAUCUAUCAAUCUUCAAAAAUAUUUAAACUUUGACACGACAUUCGCGUGAUGACAGCCAAUCGGCGUUCAACAGCGUGGCCACUGAGUGACAUGUGUAACGCAACAGCCAAUCAGCGUUCAACGGGCCAACUCAGUGCAGUGCAGUCCGGGGUGAACUGCAGCAUGGAAGAGAAAGUGAUUGUUGCCGUUUUCGACUCCCGGAGCUCUUUAUAUAAUAGUAUAUAAUCUAAUAUAAUUGUAUAAUAAUAUCACGGCCAAAAGCUCUGUGCGCCUCCGGAUGGCCGCGGGAAGCUCUCGUAUGGGAUUGGGCUUCUCGGGGUUUGAUUACCGGCGUAUGAAUAGACUGUCAGGUUCUCCGACGUCUCUCCCUCUUCCACUAAAGGUAAAGACAUGAAAUGGUAGUUAUCUCGGCCGGAAUUUGGCAGUAAUGGUGAGAAAAAGUAACAGACCGGGGAACAUGGAACCCUUUUUUUUUAAAAAGGGGUCCUAUGUUCCCCAGUCUCAUACAAAGAGGGGAACAUAGGACCCGGGAAACAUAGACACGCUCCC